GUGGGGAAUAUUGGACAAUGGGCGCAAGCCUGAUCCAGCCAUGCCGCGUGAGUGAUGAAGGCCUUAGGGUUGUAAAGCUCUUUCAGUGGGGACGAUAAUGACGGUACCCACAGAAGAAGCCCCGGCUAACUUCGUGCCAGCAGCCGCGGUAAUACGAAGGGGGCUAGCGUUGUUCGGAUUUACUGGGCGUAAAGCGCACGUAGGCGGAUCGUUAAGUCGGGGGUGAAAUCCUGGAGCUCAACUCCAGAACUGCCGUCGAUACUGGCGAUCUUGAGUCCGGAAGAGGUGAGUGGAACUCCUAGUGUAGAGGUGGAAUUCGUAGAUAUUAGGAAGAACACCAGUGGCGAAGGCGGCUCACUGGUCCGGUACUGACGCUGAGGUGCGAAAGCGUGGGGAGCAAACAGGAUUAGAAACCCCAGUAGUCC
rnacentral:rRNA from 1 species